GAUGAACGCUAGCGAUAGGCUUAACACAUGCAAGUCGAGGGGCAGCAUUAUUUUAGCUUGCUAAGAUAGAUGGCGACCGGCGCACGGGUGCGUAACGCGUAUGCAACCUGCCUGUAAUUAGGGAAUAACCCGGUGAAAGUCGGACUAAUACCCUAUAUUCUUCUUUCUCCGCAUGGGGAAGGACGGAAAGAUUUAUUGAUUACAGAUGGGCAUGCGUCCCAUUAGCUUGUUGGUAAGGUAACGGCUUACCAAGGCAACGAUGGGUAGGGGGACUGAGAGGUUGACCCCCCACACUGGUACUGAGACACGGACCAGACUCCUACGGGAGGCAGCAGUGAGGAAUAUUGGUCAAUGGGCGAGAGCCUGAACCAGCCAAGUCGCGUGAAGGACGACGGUUCUAUGGAUUGUAAACUUCUUUUGUAGAGGAAUAAUGGCAG
rnacentral:rRNA from 1 species